GUAACUUCGAUACACAGAUAGACCGCAAUUAAACGCAAUGUGCUAACAUGAGGAUCAUCAACAUUAGCUGCCAUCCAAGAGUUCUGUGUUAUCUGACCAAUGACAAACAACAGGUGACUGAAAGCAGCGAUGGAGAAGUACAAGUAUCCUUUGUUUUGAUUUAGAUACUGCACAUAAGGCUUAAACCCUGUGUCUCCCACUUCCUUUUCUUCCUGCUUAAUCAGUUGAUCUCCUUGAGAGGUUUUAAUCUGACCCUCUACAUAACUCUUCUGGAUCUCCAUAACAGAUGAUCCCUGUCUCUGCGGAGCAUCAACCUCGGUAUGCCUUUCAGAACCAGCUGUUUCUUUGUGUGCAUUGACAAGGUCCAGAAAUUCUUGGCUUGACAACAAUAACUGAUGAUAAGGAGCGGCUUGUAGGAUUUCUCCAUCUGACAUCACCUGUUUACCAAGAUAAGCUGUCUCAAGGUAGUUCUUUUGUGAAAGCUUUAACAAACAAAUUUUAUGGAAAAAUUGCUUUAACGUGAAAAUGAAGUUUAAUCAGCCAUAGAAUUGUAACAAGUAACUAAUUAUUUCCUAAAAGUGAUUGAAUCAAAGGAUGCUAACCAUAACAGAGUCAAAUGCUGGCAGGAAAUCAACUUGAUGAGUCACAAGCAAGACUGUUUUCCUUGAAAGUGCUCCCAUGAUAUAUUCCUGUAAAGAAUCAAGUCAGAAUUGAGGGAAGGCUAGCAACUAAGAGUGGAGACAGAGGUUUCUAUCAGGAAAAUUUGAUUACAUUGAAUAAACUUGUAGCUGUGUGUGCAUCCACAGCGCUGAAUGGAUCAUCCAAGAGAUAUAUAUCUGCAUUCUGAUAGAGAGCCCGGGCAAGUUGAAUUCGCUGCUUUUGACCACCACUCAAAUUGACUCCUCUUUCACCUAUUUCAGUUAGAUCACCAUAAGGAAGCAACUCAAGGUCCUUUACCAAAGAGCAUCGCUCAAGUGUGUCAUGGUAUCGUUGCCUAUCCAUUUCCGAACCGAAUAGAAUGUUCUCUUUUAUCGAUCCCGUCUGGAUCCAAGCUGUUUGCGAAACAUAGGCAAUCCUACCACAAACCUGAAUCUGCAGGUCAUAAAGACCAAAAAAAGGCUCACUUAUGAAAUAGGAAAUAAAAUUUGCAUUAAGGCACAUUUGUUCUUAAGAAACUCCAAAAGGUUAAGGACUGGAAGAGCAUGGCAAGAUACAUAUAAGAAGAUUAAACUGGAAGUUCUAAAAGGAUACACUCACAGUUCCCUGUGUAUGUGGAACUUCUCCAAGAAUUGCUGCUAAAAGGGUCGACUUGCCAGAGCCAACUUCUCCACAUAUGGCCACCUUUUCACCAGGCCGAAUUCCAAAACUCACAUUUCUCAAUGUAGGCUUUGAAGAAUUCUCUUCCCAUUAAAAAUUAGCUGACUUGAUUAAAACAGCAUGGUCCACACUCCCCAUGUUGCGCUUGUGCAGAACAUUUCCAUUCUGCAACUCUGGCGCUUCAAGAAACUUCACAAUACGUGCAAAAGCUACCUUUGCUUGAAUAACCACUCCAAUAACAUCAGGGAUUGAUCUAAUUGGGUCUUGAACAAGACCCAAAGUCACCAAAAAAGUGAAAACAUUAUUAGCAUGCAGAGGAAUUUUCAGGAAAUAGCAUGCUCCAAAGGUAGCAGCAGAGACCAAAACAGGAGAAGACCAGAAGAGAAAACCAUUAUAUGCUUUGUGCGUUUGCACUGCUGACAACCAUUUAUACUCUACAUUUCUCAAAUUUUCUAUGGCAUUCUUCAAAUGCGUUUCCCAAGCAUAUAAUUUCAAUACCUUCAUGUUAACCAGAGCCUCAUUACAAGCCUUCAAUCUCGCAUCUUGUGCCACCAUAAGCUUAGACUGAAACUUAUGCUGUAACUUUGCAACUGGAGUGUUGCAUAGCACAGUAAUUAUUAUAACCACUAAGGCAGCAAGUGUUGCUAGCCCCACUGCACGGAAAAGAAUUACAAGAGAGAGACAAAGCUGAAAGCUUGUUGUCCAUGUCUGAUGAAACCAGAAGGGAAACUCGCCUAUCCUGUAAGCAUCCACAGUAACAUAGUUCAUGAUCUCACCACCCGAGUGCAUCAACCCACCAACAUUGGAUAACCUCUGUUGCUUCUUAUAUAUUGCAGCCAUGAGCAAGGACCUGACUUUCAAACCAACAAGCCUGCUCCUAAAAUACCAUUGCCUUUGUGAUAAGGACUCUAAGCUCUUUGAAAAGAAGAGCGUCAGAACAAGUACAUAACCUUCAUAUUUAAAACCUGCUUUUCCUUCAGCAACCAAAAUGAAGGCAUUCAGAAGCAGAGGCCCAGCUGACAAAGUAAGUAUCUUUAGCAUUGCAAAGAAUCCUGAAAUUACAAUGUCUUUCCAGUGGCAAAAUACAAUUGUCCACAAGAGAGAUGGCUGAGAUGAUUCAGCUUGUUUUUGUUUGUUCAGUUGCUCCAAAAACUCCAUAUAACAGCUUUCUGCUCGUUCUGCCUCUCGCAACUUUGGUAUAUCCUCAUCCUCUAGAGUUUUCUCCUUACCCUUUCUCAUCAGUGGAUUCAACCACCAAAAUGACAUUUUAUUGAAGAAUCCUGCUUUAGCAAAUGGAGUAACUUGGUCAGCGGAAUCGAUUUUACUUGCACCAUCGGCCUCACCAUUCAGUGGAGCAUACAGGUCCCUUUCUUCAUUCCCCUCGUGUUUAUAAACCUUGUAAACACAUAACAAUAACAAUAUUGCUCCUGGAAAGGAGAGGACAUCCAAAGCUAUCUUAACCAACAUUCCUUCACCUAAAAUGGCGCUGUAUAUGGACAAAGCACAGACAAUACCAGCAAGCAAGGAAGCAAGAAUGGACAAUAGCCGCAAUGGCGUUCUUUGAAGAUGCUUCCCUCGAAGGCUUAUGGUCAAACCCACCAAAAGCCAUGUAAAUCCCUGAAACAGCACCACUAACCAACUUCUCAAUGGCAAGGCAGUCUGGUUUUUCCUCAACUUCUCUUCCAAAAUCCAUGUGCCCAAGCACAAGUACACAAAUCCGAUACCACCAUUGAGUAUAACAGAAACUAUCUGCAGACUCGAAUAGCCUCUAUAUCGAGGUGUUAUUUUAUAUAUUUUUUGAAGAUGCUGAAGAUAUUCGCAUGAAAGUGAACAAGAGCACGAUUAGAAGCAAAACAUCGAAGCAAAUGAUCAGCGCGUGAUUGAUACAUGAAGUUGGUUGAAAUACCAAGCUAGAACCAGAUGGCUUUCCACUUGUAUCCGAGUUGACAGAUUCCCCACAAAACAACGUCCACAGGUCUUCCAUUAUCUUUCCUUUCCUGCUUACUUUUCAACUCCUGCUUUGGCAUACAAUGUAAGAAAACAAUGCUCUGUGUUACAAGAAAAAUCAUCAAUUAAUCAAAUCUUCAAAACCACUUAACAAUAUCUAGUUGUCAAUUAUCAGUGAUUUUUUAAUGAAGAAGAAGAAGAAGCAUUUUUCACACACACCCCACAAUGAUAAGUACCAUCACUCGCAAAGAACUAAAGAUUAAAGAAAAUGUGAUCAUAAAAAAGCAAGAAAGGAGAAACAAAAGGUAGAGAAGUAAUCCUACGAAAAGAUAAAAACUUCAUCAUUAGUUCAUUACCUAUUCUUUUUGGGCAAAACAAAAGGUCUACCUUUAAUACACGACAAAAUAGUAUUUCUUAAUGACCAACAGACAAUGUGAGAUCCUCAAAAAUAUUUAACAAGCAAUUCUUGCUAAAGAUAUUAUAAAAAAUCGAACGUCAGCCAAUCUUGAGUUCAUAAGAAAUAAAAGAGUUCAGGUUUGCAUUCAUUCAAACAGCAGUAGGGCACACCUGGAUAACAUUUAAAAGAAUAAGAAGACUAACCUGAAAAUUGCACCAAACCUCAAAAUUUACAAGCCAAGAUUUAUUAAUGUUCCAUUUCAGAGUUUUUGAGGUCUCUCCCUCUGUGUUAAGUGUUUAGGACUCGGAGUGGAACCAGAAUUUCAGAGAGAAAGUGACGCUGUAGUGUUGUUAAAUACUUUAUUUUAUUAUUAUUAAUAUGAAUAUUUAGCCCACUUAUAUGUAUUUUGAUUAAUUUAAUGGAUUUUAAAAUUAAUUUUUAGUGGUUAAAAUAAAAGUAAAUUCAAAAUAUAACCUGUAGAGCUUCACUAACAAAUACUUGGAUAUAUUAGUAGGGUUGCAAGAUAGGAAAAGGAGGGAGGAAUUGUGAUGUUGCUAGGCAUGCAUAUAUGGGAUGGAACAGAGUCCUGUGUCGUCCUUCUUGUAGAAAUACCAAUAAAUACUUCUACCAAUCAUUUUCGAUUACGAAAAAUAAUUAAAUAUUCUAUUAUUUCAUGAUUAUGAUACGAAUUCAAUUUCUAUGAAUAUCGAUAUACAGGAAAGAAAGAAGAAAAAGGAUCUCUUUUUUUUCUUUAAUCGUCAUGGCUCACGUAAGAUCGGUCUGUUGACAUGUACCCGUCUUGUUUUGGCUUGUUUCGGCUUUCGAACAAAGAGGCCGAUCUUGCUGGCCGACCAGUAGUCUCUUUCCUUUCUACUGCUCUUAAUCUUUAUUCUACUUUUGUUUCAAAUUCAUAUUCCAAUUGGCUUCUCCAUGGUUUUGUUUUAUUUGUGAAGUAAAAAUGUUUUAAAAAAUAUUUAUUUUUAAAAAAAUUAAUUAUUUUAAUGUUUUUAGAUUAUUAUGAUAUGUUAAUAUCAAAAAUAAAUUUUAAAAACUUAAAAAUAAUAAUUUAAUAUAUUUUUAAAUAAAAAAAUAUUAUUUCAUACAACAAAAUAACACUUCUCGCAUGCUAUUAUCAUGAAGUUUCUAAUGCAUUGAUGAAGAAAUUGAUAAAAUUUAUUUUUUUUUAACAAAAUUGAGAAUCCAUGACAAAAAUAAGUAAAAAAUAAUACACAAUAAAAGAUUGUAUAGAGAAACUGUUGGCCUUAUCAUGAUUGUCCUAUUUAAACCAUCAAUUAUAGAAAUAUACUAGUUAUAUAACCCGCGCGAUGCUAUUGGUCAAUUUGUUUUGCAUAAAAAAUAUAUAAAAAAGCUAAAAUCUAAAAGUAUUAGGUUUUUCUGUGAAGCUAUACCUAAAAAUCUUGGGUUUGAAUGUAACGCAUGACCUAAAAGUAAUAUUUAUAAUAUUAAUAAUAACAUUAAACUUGCAUGACCUAAGUUUAAAUGAAUUUAACUGCAAUACCAGACCCAAUAGUCUUGAAAAAUUAUAUGUAGAAAAAUUGUUGCAAUCCACAAUGUUUUCAAGGAAAAAGCUACAAACCUAAAUUCUCAAUCAGAUUAAUAUUUAAAAAAUUAAACAAAGAAAAUUUUAAAAAAAAUCAUAAAAAAAAAAAUUCAUGUGAGGGAACACUGUAGCAAUCCACAAUGUUUUUAAGAAAAAAAACCACAAAGCUAAAUUCUCAACCAACUCAAUAUGAAAAAAAUAGAAUCGACAAAGACUAUUAUGGGAAGAAAAAAAAACCAUAAAAAAAGGCAAAAAAAACCAUGUGGAGAAACACUGUAGCAAUCUACAGUGUUUUAAAUAAAAAACUACAAAGCUAAAUUCUCAACCAGCUCGAUAUUUAAAAAAAUAAAAUAAAAAAACACCAAAAAAAAAGACAAUUUUGGGGAAAAAAAAGAAGCAAUAAAAAAUAAAAAAAAAACAGAAAAAAAAACAUGUGGGAAAAAUUAAAGAUGAAUUUUCAACCAGCUCGAUAUUAAAAAAAAAUCCAUAAAGAUAAUUUUAAAAAAAAACAUGUGAGGAAACACUGUAGUAAAACAAAAACAUUGUAGAGAAAUAUUGUAACAAUCCAUAGUAUUUUAAAGAAAAAAAACUACGAAGCAAAAUCAACAAAGACUAUUUUGGGAAAAAAAUUUCAUAAAAAAAGCCAUGUAGUGAAACAUUGUAGUAAUCCAUAAGUUUUUCUUUAAAAAACUAAUGAAGAAAAGGAACAAAAAUCUGAAUGAACUGGGUUAACCCUUCAAAGCAGGUUAAUCCGUCAAACCUUGGAUUCGCGUCGUGACAGUUUGAUAACUAAAUAGAAAAAAAAACUGAUAGGUUACCCAUAAUUAAUUGGGCUAACCCGUUAAACCCGGAAUCCGUCUCAUAAAAAUUUGAUAACUAAAUAGAAAAACAUUUAAUAUCAAAAAAUUAAUUAAAAAAUUAAUUAAAAAGAAAAAAGAAAAAGAAAAAGAAGGCAUCAACCUUUUCACUAUGGAUUGCACUGUGCAGUCCACAGUGAAAGGCAUAAAAAAAAACCUAAAGGCAUCAACCUUUUCACUGUCGACUCCAUGCAAUAUUAAAAGAUGAAAUCGGAAGAAAAAAACUAAUGAGAAAAAAGAAAAAAAAAAUCUGAAUCAACUGGGUUAACUCGUCAAAUCAGGUUAACCUGUCAAACCUGGGAUUUGUGUCAUGAAAGUGUGAUAACUAAAUAGAAAAAAAAUUUAAUAUUAAUGAACUAAAUUUAAAAGAAAAAAGAUUAAUUAAAAAGGAAAAAGUAAAGAAAAAAAAACCUACGGGAAGACAAAAACUAAUGAAGAGAGAAAAAUCUGAAUCAACUAGGCUAAACUAAUGAAGAAAAAAAUUAAUAUUAAAAAACUAUAUAAAAAAAUAAAGUAAAGGCAUAAGAUUUUUCGCUGUGCAGUCCAGAAUAAAAGGCUUAAAAAGGGAAAAAAACCAAAGACAUAGGCCACGGGUUAAUUUUUUUUUUCGUGUAUAAAAAAUAUAAAAAAGGCUAAAAUCUAAAAGUGUUAGGUCUUUCUGCCAAGAUAUACCAAAAAGCCUUGGGUCUAGCUGCAACGCUUGAUCCAAGAGUAAUAUUUAUAAUAUUGAUAAUAAUAUUAAACUUACAUAACUUAAGUUUAAGUGAGUCUGGCUGCAACCCCGAACCCAAGAGCAUUAGAUGUGGGUCUGGCUAUAAGGUCGUGUCAUAAAAGUGUGAUAACUACAUAGAUUAAUUAAAAAGAAAAAAAGAGGAAAAAAAAACCAAUAGAAAGAAAAAAACUAAUGACGAAAAAGAAAAAAAUCUGAAUUAACCGAGUUAACCCUUCAAGCCAGGUUAACCCGUCAAACUUGGGAUCCGCGUCAUGAAAGUUUGAUAACUAAAUAGAAGAAAAAAAAUUGACUGGUUUACCCAGAAUUAACCAGGUUAACCCGUCAAGCCUUGAAUACAUGUCAUGAAACUCUGAUAAUUAAAUAGAAAGAAAUUUAACAUUAACAAACUAAACUAAACAAAAAAAAUUAAUUAAAUAGAAAAAAAAUCCAAGUUAACUCAUCAAACCAAGUUAAUUCAUCAAACCCGAAAAUCGUGUCAUGAAAAACUAAUAACUAAAUAAAAAAAAUUAACAUUAACAAACUAAAUUAAACAAAAAAAAUUCAUUAAAAGAAAAAUAUAAUAAUAAUAAAAAAGACAACUACAAUACUUUUUAGGAUAUGUUAUAAUAGAAUAGAAUAAUAUAAUAUAAUAUAAUAUAAUAUAAUAUAUUAAUAAUGGGGAAAGUUAAAAGGCAUGGGCAAAACUAUAAAGCUUUCUCCACGCCUUUUAGAGUAUUACAUAACUAGUUAAAUGAUUCGUGCGAUGUCGUAUGUUAAUUUUUUUUAACAUAAAAAAUAUUAAAAAAAAAUUAAGAUUUAAAAGUGUUAGCUCUUUCUACAAAGUUAUAUCCAAGAGUCUUGAGUUUUGCUGCAACACUUGAUCCAAGAGUAAUAUUUAUAAUAUUAAUAAUAAUAUUAAACUUACAUGACUUAAGUUUAAGUGAGUCUGGCUGCAACACCAGACCCAAGAGCACUAGAUGUGGGUCUGGCUAUAAGAUCGUGUCAUAAAAAUAUGGUAAUUAAAAAUAAAAAAACCAACAAGAAGAAAAAAAAACUAAUGAAAAAAAAAAUAUGAAUUAACUGCGUUAACCUUUCAAACCAAGUUAACCUGUCAAACCUAGGAUAUGCCUCAUGAAAGUUUGAUAACUAAAUAGAAAAAAAAAUUGACGGGUUAACUCGUCAAACGAAGUUAACACGUCAAGCCCGGCAUACGUGUCAUGAAAAUCUGAUAAUUAAAUAUAAAGAAAUUUAACGUUAACAAACUAAACUAAACGAAAAAAUUAAUUAAAAAGAAAAACAAUUCCGGGUUAACUCGUCAAACCAGGUUAACUCAUCAAACUCGGGAUCCGUGUCAUGAAAGUCUGAUAACUAAAUAAAAAAAAUUUAACAUUCACAAAAUAAAUUAAAAAAAAUCAUUAGAAGAAAAAUAACGAAAAAAAUAAAAACAAAAAUUUAACAUUUACAUGGGCUGGCUGACGUCCCAGCCCAAGCCCAAAUGGUUGGUUACUGUGUGCACAGUAACCUGGUUACUGUGUGCACAGUGAAUUAAUUUGCCAAGUUACUGUACACAUGCACAGUAACCGGGUAAUUAAUUCUUGCAUGCAGAGUGCAUGUUCUGCAAGCAAGAAGAUGAAUAGUAAAACGAGAUAAGGGGUUGAGGGCUGACCUGUGGUGGCUGUCGUCGAUGGCGGAGCUGCUGGUGGCGACAGGAAGCGGCGCUGACAGUGGGGUGGCUGCCGGUGGCUCUGCGUUUUCCUUCUCUCUCUCCUUUAUUUUUUUUCGUUUUCUCCUCUGCUCUCCUUCUUCUUCUUCUUCUUCUUCUAUGUUCUCCCUUCUCUCUCUUUUCCCCUCUCUUUGCUCUCCCUUCUCUUCUCUUCCCCUCUCUCGGGUCUUUUUUUUUUCUUUCUCUCCUUUUUCUUCUCUUCCUCCCCUGUUUUAUAGCAAAAACAGGGGGGCGAAUGGUGGGGCGGCCACUGUUGGCCGCCCCUCCACUAUCCUUCAAUGGAUAAAAAGGAGGCAAGUGGGUGAAUGGUGGCGUCUUAUUGCGCCAAAUCCGGGAAAGAAGUUCGGCGAAAAGUGGAGAAGAAAAAAAUUCUUCUCCCCUGUUCUCUGCGUGCGCAGGGAAGAAGAUGAUGGUGCCGUUUCAAAACGGCACCGUUUUGGGUUCUUUUUUUUUUUUUUUUUUUUUUUUUUUAAACAGUGCAUGAAACGGCGCCGUUUUGGUCAAAACGCGCCGUUUCAUUUAAAAGGAAAAGGCGCCAAAACGCGUGAUUCAAAUUUCGGCCCUCCAUUUGCGCGCGUUUUACAAUUUAGUCCUUGGUCUCGGAUUUCUUCAAUUAAGUCCCUAAUUGGCCAUUAAACUUCAAUAUUUAUGCAAUUAAGCCCCUGAUUUGACCAAAUUAACUUCCAAAAAUUAUAAUUUGACCCCAGAAAAUUAAUUUCUCCUAAUUAAAGCCCAAAUUAACUCCAAAAUCAAUUUUUCUUGCAAUUAAAAUCUUCAUAAAUGCAAUUAAACCUUCAAUAAAAUUUAAUUGAGUCCAUAAACUUCUGAUUUUGCAUUUUUCUUCCACAAAUUGAAUUUUCUUUAUCAUCGGGGCUCUCAUCAGUCAAUGAUAUACUGUCAAAAAUUAAUUUUUAUAUUUUUGAACAUCCUCAAUCAAUUUUUGAGCAUUUUUAGGGCGCUCUGGCAUUUUUUCACUGUUAUAUUUUUUGAUAAUAUAUUUUUUGAAUUUUUUUGUAUUUUAUUAUUUUUUAUGUGGGGACCCAAAAAUGGGUUACAACAGUUGCCCCCCUCUUUACAAUGCUUACGGAGCAAAGAUUUGUGCAUAGUAAGUGUUGUAAAGAUAAAACAAAAUUGGUCUUCCGAAACUGGUCGUCUCAAAAUUUGAUUGACCUAAAACUUCAACCGGACCCAAAGUCCUGUGUGUGGUUGGGCUAAACUGAGAUUCCUUUCGCCAAUCCCCUUUAACCAGAACCAAAAUCCUAUGUGUGGUUGGGAUAGACUGAGAUUCCUUUCGGCAAUCCCCUCUAACCAGAACCAAAAUCCUGUGUGUGGUUGGGAUAGACUGAGAUUCCUUUCGGCAAUCCCCUCUAACCAGAACCAAAAACCUGUGUGUGGUUGGGAUAGACUGAGAUUCCUUUCGGCAAUCCCCUCUAACCAGAACCAAAAAACCUGUGUGUGGUUGGGAUAGACUGAGAUUCCUUUCGGCAAUCCCCUCUAACCAGAACCAAAAUCCUGUGUGUUCAAACCCUUUGUUUUUUUGAAGAUGGUAUAUUUUCACGGGCGAGCUGCCCACACAUACUUAAGGUGGUCUAUUUUCAGGGGCGACCAGCCCACACACUCACGCUGACAUUGGUCUAUUUUCAUGGGCGACCUGCCCAAACAUAAAAGUAAAGAGUGGUCUCAUUGUAAUGGGUGACCUACCCAGAUGGAAAAAAUGUGAAGAAUUGGAUGGCGAGGGCUUAAAGGCACACUCGAAAAGAGGUAGGGUUAGAAAAAUGCACUACCAAAGGAGUUGAGGGCUCAAAGGCGCACUCAAAAGGAGGUGAGGGCUCAAAGGCGCACUCAAAGGGAGGUAGGGUUAGAAAACGCACUACCCAAGGGAUGAGGGCUCAAAGGCGCACUCAAAAUGGAGGUGAGGGCUCAAAGGCGCACUCAAAGGAGGUAGGUUAGAAAACGCACUACCUAAGGAAUGAGGGCUCAAAGGCGCACUCAAAAGGCGGUGAGGGCUCAAAGGCGCACUCAAAGGGAGGUGAGGGCUCAAAGACGCACUCAAUAGGGAGGUAGGGUUAGAAAAUGCACUACCUAAGGGAUGAGGGCUCAAAGGCGCACUCAAAAUGGAGUUGAGGGCUCAAAGGCGCACUCAAAAGGAGGUAGGGUUAGAAAACGCACUACCUAAGGGAUGAGGGCUCAAAGGCGCACUCAAAGGGCGGUGAGGGCUCAAAGGCGCACUCAAAGGGAGGUGAGGGCUCAAAGGCGCACUCAAUAGGGAGGUAGGGUUAGAAAACGCACUACCUAAAGGAUGAGGGCUCAAAGGCGCACUCAAAAUGGAGUGAGGGCUCAAAGGCGCACUCAAAAGGAGGUAGGGUUAGAAAACGCACUACAAGGGAUGAGGGCUCAAAGGCGCACUCAAAAUGGAGGUGAGGGCUCAAAGGCGCACUCAAAAGGAGGUAGGGUUAGAAAACGCACUACCUAAGGGAUGAGGGCUCAAAGGCGCACUCAAAAUGGAGGUGAGGCUCAAAGGCGCACUCAAAAGGAGGUAGGGUUAGAAAACGCACUACCUAAGGGAUGAGGGCUCAAAGGCGCACUCAAAAUGGAGGUGAAGGCUCAAAGGCGCACUCAAAAAGAGGUAGGGUUAGAAAACGCACUACCUAAGGAUGUGUUGAAACACUGAUCUGUCAAUAUGAAAAGAAAAAUGCAUUAUGAGUGAUAUGCAUGUAUACUUACCUGAGAAAUAUAGGCCCCUAUUUUUUCAUGGUGUCUUUGUUUUCUCUCAAAAGUUGUAGUGUUGGUAGUAAACUUCGAUGGCUUUUCCACUUCUGCUUACUCGGGUUACACAUUGUAAUCUUGACCUCUGGGAAGGGUUUGAUGUCAUCAUACAUCUUUGUCCUUCACCCUUUAUCUCAAGAGUUACCAAUUUUGCCCGACAUUUUCCUUAGAAAAGGAAUCAUGGAGCCAACCCUACCAUGUGUUUUUGAUUGCCCCCCCCAGCUUGAUCAUGCCCCCCAAGUGUUCAACUUGAGUUUAGUUUGGGGUGAGGAUAUGUGAAAGUGGGGUUUUUGUUACAAUGAAAUGUUUUCAUGCAAAAUUUUUGGAACGUCCAAGUUAUUCCAAUCACAAAAAUGAUUUUGACAUUGGUUCAAAAUAAACUUGUUCUAAAAAAUUCAAGUGAUUCCUAUGGACAAGUUUCUUGAAGUGAUGAAAGCUUUUUGCUUCUGGUUUAAAGAUGAAGUGACAUCUAGUUGGUCACAAAAGGUUUAAAUGUCAAUUUGAGGGUUAUUGAGAACCGAAUUGAUUCAAAGCAUUUAUUUUAUUUGCAUGAAUAAUGAUUUGACCCGCACAUGAAAGCACUGGCUACCGAUCCAGAUUGCUUGCCUUUCAUCAGAAAGGGCUUUAUCAGGUAUGUAAUGUAGGCUUUGGCUAUUGGUUAUGAAGAAAAGGAUAUAUUACAGGCUCAAAAAGUGUUCAAGGGAUUUCAAAAACUAAGGAUCACUUGUGCUUGUUUCCUGACCUUUUGUCUUUUGGAUUUGUUUUCAAAUGAUUUGCCCUGCCCCCCAGUGUCGGGUUUGGGCUUUUCUCUUUGUUUUCUUCGUUUUUAUUUCGUUGAGCACAAUCAUAUGUAUGAGAAGCUCAAAUCUUUUAACCAAUUGCAAUAUUUCUCUUCAUUGUUUCAUUUGGAUGAUAAUGAAAGAUGAAACAUUACAUGAUCAAUUCCAGCACCAUCUUCACUGCUUUGUCUGGAUGGUAAAAACAACAAACUCUCUUAUUUUGCCCCCAGUGUGGGGUGUGAUCCUAGUCAAGGUUAUUUCCAAAAAACAUUACUAGGCUCAAAAUGGGACUGCAAAGGAUAUAUUUCAGCCUUGUGAAAGGAUUAUCAAAGAUGGCCUUUCCUCAUCUCAAAUGCACUGCAUUGAGGAUCGAUAGGUCUUGCUUUCAUGCGCGUAUGCAAAGUGAUUUAUUCAGUCAAAUAAAACUCAGCUUUUGAGUCACCUCAUAGUGUUGUUUAUCUUUGUUGUCUUUUUUUCUUUCAAGUUUUCUAGGUAUAUGUGUACCUAUUUAAGGAAUCACUUGAAUUUUCAAAAUGCAUUUGUUUUGGACAAAUAUCAACACGAUUUUUGUUUUUUUGUACUCACUUUGGAGGUCCCAAAAAAAUAUCCUUGAAAACAUAUGAGAUUAAUGUAUGGGUUUGGAAGAAAGGAAACCAAAGGAUUCUUCAUGUUGUAGUGUUGUGAGCAAAGUUGCGCUCAAAAUGUUAUUUACAUGUAAUAACAACAAAGAAGAGUGUGAUGUGAACACAAGAAAACACAUGAUCUUAUUUCACAAGAGAAGCUCAUUAACAGAGAAAGUCUUGUUCAAAAGCAUUAACAAAAGGCAAUAACAAGGCAGGCUUCAUUCCUCUAUUUUGGCGAAUCUGUUCAUAGGCUAACCUCCUCUCAAAAGCUCUGUGAGGACUCAAAGACAAUGCGGAACAACACCACGGUCAAAUUUGAGUUCUAAAAAUUCAAGCUAUCAUGCUGGACCAUUGAUGCUUUCCAAUUCCCCAAACAUUCCAUCCUAAUAUGCUUCAAGCAUGAUUAGGCAGCGGGUUCGUAUUCACAUUGGGGAUCUUCCAAUUCUAUCCACCCAGCCUUGAUUAAUUGCAGAAGCUUUCUCUUGAAGGCGUUGCAGGUAUAGAUGCUAUGCCCAGUAAUACCGGCAUGGUAUUCACAAUUGAGUUCUGGCUUGUACCAAUUAGGAUAAGGUGGCUGCAGAGGUGUCAGAGGUUCUGGAGCUAUUUGCCCGAUGCUCAAUAGCUUUUGAUACAUCUCAUUCAGGGGUAACGGUAGUGGAGGUAGUUGUUCUUGAACCCUUUGGAAAUUUCCAAUUUGGCUUUUGGCUUGAAAGUUUUGGGGUUCAGGUUUUCUGAUGUUGGCAAUUUGGGAUGGAUUAUGGUAAUUUUGGGAUGUAUUUGUUUUACCCAUGUAGCCAUCUUCAACAUGGUGAACCUUUUUUUUUCGAUGCCUCUUUUCUCGGUUGGUGUAGCAAUUCUACCACUCUUGACACCUUGCUCUAUGCGUUCACACACUAUCAUAGCAUCAGUGAAUUGUUGGGCUGAACUACCCAUCAUAUGUUCGUAAUAUGGUGCUUUGAGUGUGUUGGCAAAUAAAGAGACCAUCUCUUUGUCCAGAAGUGGGGGAUGUACUUGAGCAGCUAAUUCUCGCCAUCUUUGAGCAUAUUCCCUUAUGCUUUCUUUAUCCUUUUUCUCUAUAUUGAACAAACUGGUUCUGUCAGGCGCAAUGUCCAUGUUGUACUUGUAUUGCUUGACGAAAGCAUCCACAGUUGCGAAUUUUUGUGUUAUCCAAUCUCAUAUACCAACUCAAAGUUGCCCCACUUAAACUGUCUUGGAAAAAGUGCAUUAGUAGUUUUUCAUCAUGUACUACCUCAGCCAUUUUAUUGCAGUAGGACCUGAGAUGGGUCAUGGGGCAUUGGGUUCCAUUGUAUUUGAUGAAUUCAGGAACACGAAAUUUCUUUGAGAUAACCACAUUUGGGACCAAACACAUCUCUGCUGCCCGUACCGGGUCAUAUAAGUCUAUCCCUUCAAUGGCUUAUCAUGGAUUAGUAAAAGCUGACAUGCCCGCGCGAUGCCGCGAGCUUGGGGCAUUAUCAUGGAUUUGUGAAAAAAAUCAUAUAAAAAAACUAUUAUCAUCCACAAUAUUUUAAAGGAAAAAACUACAAAGUUAUAUUCUCAACCAGCUCAAUAUUAAAAAAAAAAAAUUGACAAAAACAAUUAUGAAAAAAAAACACAAAAAAAAUGAAAAAAAGAACACAAGUUUGGAAGGAAAAAAAAGCAAAAAGCAAAUAAUAAAAAAAUGGGAAAAAAACAUGUGGGGAAAGUUAAAGCUAAAUUUUCAACCAACUCAAUAUUAAAAUCGUUUAAGAAAACACUGUAGCAAUCUAAAAUGUUUUGUGAGGAAAUAUACAAUUAUAAUUUCCAACUAGCUCAAUAUUAAAAAAAAAUCAACAAAGAUAAUUUUGACAAAUAUAAAAAAAACGAAAGGAAAAAAAACAUGCAAGGAAACACUAUAACAAUCUAUAGUGUUUCAUAGAAAAAUCUACAGUUGUAAUUUUUAACCAACUCAAUAUUAAAAACAAUAAAAACGAUAAAGAAAAUUAAAAAUAAAAAACAUUAAAAAAAAUCAUAUGGGAAAACAUUGUAGUAAUCAACGAUGUUUUAAGGAAAAAAAGCUAAAUUGUCAACCGGCUUAGUAUGGAAAAAAUAAAUUUGAUAAAAACAUAUUUGGAAAAAAAAUAUCGAUAAAAAAAAAAACAUGUGGAGAAACACUGUAGCAAGACAAAAAUCAUGUGGGAAAACACUGUAGCAAUCUAAAGUGUUUUAAAUAACUACAAAGCUAAAUUCUCAAUCAGCUUAAUAUAAAAAUGAUAAAAUCGACAAAGAUAAUUCUGAAAAAAAAAUUAUUUAAUAAAAAACAAUGUAGAGAAACACUAUAGUAAUCUAGUGUUUUAAAGAAAAAAAUUAAAAAACUACAUUCUCAAUCAGUUCAAUAGUAAAAAAAAUAAAAUCAACAAAAAUAAUUAUAAAAAAAAAAGAGAGAAAAAUAAAAAAGAAGGAAAAUUUCGAGAAAAAAUUAUAAAAAUGAAAAAAAAAAAACAUGGAGAAAGUUAAAGUUAAAGCUAAAUUCUCAACCAGCUUAAUAUUGGAAAAAUAAAUUUGACAAAGAUAAUUUAAAAAAAAAAACAUGUCAGGAAAAUACUACAGUCAAACAAAAACUAUGUAAGGGAAACACAGUAGCAAUCCAUAGUGUUUUUUUUUAUUUUUUGAAAAAAGCUACAAAGUUAAGUUCUCAACUAGCUCAAUAUAUAAAAAAAACCGACAAAGACUAUUUUUUUUUUUUAAAAAAAAUCAAUUUUGUGUUAAAAAAAUGAAAAAAAAAACAUGUAAAAAAAAGGAAACAAAGAAAAAAAAACACGUGGGGAAAGCUACAGUGUUUUAAAGAGAAAAAACUAAAAAACUAAAUUUUCAACUAGCUCAAUAGUAAAAAAAUAAAAUCAACAAAAAUAAUUCUAAAAAAACAAAAAAAAAUGUAAAAAUUGACAAUUUUGGAAAAAAAGAAAAAAAAUAUAAAAAUAUAAAAAAAAACAUGUGGGGAAAACUAAAGUUAGAUUAUCAGCCAGCUCAAUAUUGAAAAAAUAAAUUCGAUAAAGUUAAUUUUUAAAACAAAUAUGUGGAGAAACACUGCAGCAAAACAAAAACUAUGUAGGAGAAACACUAUAGCAAUCCAUAUUAUUUUUUUUAAAAAAAACUAAAAAGCUAAAUUCUCAACUAACUUAAUAUAUAAAAAAUAAAAUCUACAAAGACCAUUUUGAAAAGAAAAAAAAAAUCAUAAAAAAAAAAAAAACAAUGUAUGAGAAUAUUAUAGCAAUCCAUAAUGUUUUAAAGAAAAAAACUACAUAGUUAAAUUUUCAAUCAGCUCAAUAUUUAAAAAAAUUAAAAAAGAUAAUUUUGAAAAAAAAAAACAAGAAGAAGAAGAAGAAGUCAAUUUUGGGUAAAAAAGAAGGAAAAAAAACAUAUAAAAAAAAAACAAAAACAAGUAAAAAAACAGCUACCGUUAAAAAUCUCCACGUUUUAAAGUAUUGUUAAUAAUAAUUAUUUUGAGAAGACUUGUAAGAUAUGGAAUGCAUAAUUUAGAUAGAUAAGACAGACGACAUUUUAGACUAAAAGUAUAAAUUAGGCCUGCUUGGAACACUGAUGAAUUUGUAUUUUUAAAAAAUUAAAUUUUUUUUAUAUUUUAGAAUCGUUUUUAAUUAAUGUGCUAAUCUUAAAAAUAAUUUUUAUAAAAAUUAAAAAAUAUAUUAUUUUAAUAUAUUUUUAAAUAAAAAAUAUUUUAAACCGUAAUUAAAACUACACUCCCACACAAAAUUUUAUUGAAAUCUAUGCAUGCAUGUAUAUAAAUUGAUAUUACCCGAAUAGUUUAUGGUAUAUUUGAGGUUUGCCAAUUUUUUUAUGUACAGCUUAAUAUUCCCAUCUCAUUAAUUUUACAAUUUUCUUAUAUUUGGUAUAUAUUAUUAACUAGUAACUUGCUACCAUAUAUGAUCAUGUUGCUAAGUUCAUAAUCCCCAUGGGCAUAGGUUGAUAUGAUAGUUAAGGAGAUUAACCAUGUUCCUUAAUUUUUAAGUUUAUAUUUUGAGGCCAAUAGCUAUGAAAAUUUAUGAAUUUCUUUUUAAAUACAUGAAAAUAAUAUAAAAAUGUAAUUUUAAAAUUACUGGAAGGGAUUUUGUCUCAAUUAAAAAUAAGGUUACUAUUGAAUAAAUAAAUAAAUAAAAUUCUUAUUUGUGCAUAUAUCUGCAACAUAUCGUUUAAAAACUUCUAAUAAAGAACAAAUAGCAUUGCCCAAAAUAAGUUAUAACUAUUAAAAUAAUUUGCAUCCAUCAUCCUGUUACAAGUCGAGCAUAGUAAUCUUGAAAGAACAAGAUUAAUCUAAAAUGUCGUUUAAUUAUUUUUUAAAAAGAUAUUAUUUUAAUAAAAACUCAAGAAGAAAGAUCAAAGCAAGUUUUAACUUGAUUGCUGGUGAAAUACAACCCGAGGAUGAUGUAAAGGAUGGAUUAAAUUUGUUGAUGAUAAUUUUUCCAAUUUUCACCAACUAAGAUUAACAAAAACUAAGCUCUUGACACUUGUGAAAAAUGGCUGAGUGCACUCAAUUUCCCAGUAGAUAUUAGCAAGCUUGAUGUUUGAAUACAGGUGCAAAACUAAGGAUAGGAACUGAUAUUCCUCUUCUCCAUUUCUCCUCCCUAGCCCUAUAGUAUUGUUGCAAUAUCAUACAUCAUACUUCCUACCUAGUCCUGGAAAUGAGAAGUGGGAUACACGAUAAAUAAUAUUCAGCUUCAAUGUGAUUCUGCAGCGUGUAAAUGAGACCAGUACUCCUUCACAAGUUGUCCAAAAAGUGAACCUUCCGUCUUCAUUAACUUCUCCGGCUCGUCGAACUCGACUAGUUUUCCUGAAAUAGAACAAAAACAGCUCAGUGAUACAUCUUGGAAUUUCUUCCGAGAUUUAUCUACAUGAAGUUGCAGCUACAGUCGUCUCUCGUUCUCAAGUGUUUUUCUCUCUCUCUCUUUUUUUCAAAUGGAAAUCAAGGUUUGGCAGUAGAUCGCCUUGUAGCUCUGGUAUUUUGGGGUCACUCCAGAACAAUAAGCCUCUGCUAAGAUGUUGGAUGGCAUGGAUGAAUGAUCAGCUACAUGAGAUUAUCUUGGAGUGGCGACAAAUCAGUGCAAAUCCACAAAGUCACGAUGUGCAGGAUACAGACAAGUGCAUUUUUUAGAUAAGAAAUAAAGAAAUGAAACUUACCAUCGCUAAUGGAAAGUACCAUUGUGCAAUCCAUCACUGUUGGUAUCCUGUGAGCUACUGUGAUUACAGUGCAAUCUGAAAAUUCAGUCCGAAUAGUCUUUUGCAAAACCAAGUCCGUUGCAUUAUCAAUUGAUGCAGUUGCUUCAUCAAGUACCAGUACCCUACUCCUCCUCAAAAGGGCACGUCCCAAGCAAAAUAAUUGUCUCUGCCCCAUGCUCCAAUUCGAUCCAUCUUCCACAACUGUGUUGCAGCUUGUUAAUCAUUCUCUGGCUAUUACAAUCGAAAGCAUACACUCAUUAUUUUCCAUGUAGGGGAAGAAAGCAUACCUAAAGAGUCUAGACCCUGCUCUUUCUCCUGUACAGCCUCUCGAAGCUGACACUUUCCGAGAACCUUUGAAAAUAAGGAACAAAGUUUCAAGUUAGAAAGCAUGAAGGUAGAAAACAACGGUUCCGCUGGUUUAUAGACAAUGAUUACUAGAUUAAAAUGUCAAAUGAACUGGAAAAGUUACCUCCCAUAUCUCCUGGUCAGUAUGCUGGGAUAAGGGGUCCAAAUUGUAUCUCACAGUCCCGUUAAAGAGAGUAGGAUCUUGAGGUAUUAUUCCGAGUCGUGACCGCAGAUCAUGAAGUCCAAUCUUAGAGAUGUCAAUUCCAUCUACGAUGAUCUUUCCUCCAGCUGGUUCUACCAGUCGAAAUAGAGCACCUAUAAGUGUAGUCUUCCCACUGCCGGUUCGACCAACGAUUCCAAUCUUGUGCCCUCCUUCAAAUGUGCAGCUGAUUCCUCGAAGAACUAGUGGUGAGUUAGGCCUGUAUCUAAUCUGUUUGAUACUAAACUUUUUCAGUCUGCUAGCCUUCACCAAUUGUCUCAUUAAACACCAAUAAAUCAUAGGAGUAAGACUAACCUGCAAAUCACAAAUAUCCACUUUACCCUUUUCCGGCCAAUUCGAUGGAGGUCGGUUAUCUUUAAUCACCUCAGGGGCUUCACUUGGUAUGUGCAUGUAUUGAUUAAGCCUUUCAACAGAAAUGAUGUAAUUUGCUAAUGUGCACUGGUUUUGAAUCGAAAACACCAGCGACAUAUUUAAUGAAAGUCCAUAAGAAAGUGCCAUUCCAAUAAAUCCUACAGUAAUGGAAGUAUUACAACGAGUCAGAAUUGGGAAGCUCGUAAUAUUAUGUGUUCAAAAAAAGUUGAAGAAAAGUAAAGCAUAAAUGCUCACCAGAGUUAAAAGUUCCAGUAGGUAGUAAAACCAUGCAGAGUGCUGCAGAGGCAAGAACAGUUGCACUAACUAUUUCAAGCCGUUGAAUCAACCACUCAUUUGCAGCAAAACUGUGGAAGAAAGGACUAGCAUUUAUGUCAAUGAGGUUAAGGGUUUUUUUGAAGAAACGUUCUUCCUCCUCAAAGGCCCUUAUUGUCAUGGCUCCUGCUACAGAUUCAGCCACAUGAUUUGACACUAAAGACUUGGUUGUGCCAUUGAUCCGCAUCAAUUCCUUAGCAGAGGCAAAGUAAUAUGCCUGCAGAUAAGAAUGAGAAAAUCCUUAAAUCCACUCUAUAAAUGUAAAAUCAUCCUCAAUGGUAGUGGUCCUCAAAAGAAAGAGAUCAUAACAGCAUGCUGCCACUUCCAACCAUAUAAUCAUAUAAACAGUACUAAUACAAUUGAAAGUUCAUGUGAUAAAUUGUACUUGUGUUACAUUGCAUUGAUUCUUCACAGGUAGUAAGAAAGUUGUUCUAAAAAAUCGUUGGGAUGAUAAACAGUUUCAGAAGAAAUACGAACUCCAGGCAGUUUGGUCAAUUUGAAGCUCACUGCAAGAAAACCUUUGGCCUUUUUUUUAAGCCUACAAUCUACAUUCCUACAUGUGGCAAUUUAAGACAUUAAACAUCAAAUUAUUCUAUAAAAAAUGAUUAGUUACGUUUCAUUGCAUUGAACUUAUUACAUGGUCACAAGUUGUAAGGAAUUUUUUCUUAAAAUGUAGAGGAGACGGUAUCCUGUGGUUUCAGAAGAACCACACUCCAUGCAGUUUGGGUGAAUUGAACAGCUCAUUGUAAGAACUGUUUUUAGCCUUUUUUUUAUAAUUAUUAUUCUUGAAGCCUCAAGUCUGCUUUCCUGAUUAUUUAGAUUGGGCCAUUGCCAAGCUUCUCACAAUUCCAAACCACUCAUGUAAGAGGAUAACAUAAUUACCUGUAAGCGAAUAGCCAAAUAAAUCAUUGGUAUGGAGACAAACAGGACUUGCCAGGUCACAACAGCCAGUACUCCCAGGUUACUAUAAGCAUUUGUGGUUGCACCAACGGCCAAGAUCAAAGUGAAUGGAACAUCAAGAUCGACAAUGCUCAAAUCUGACGUGACCUAUGAGACAUAAAAUAAAAGCAGUUCCAGGUCAACAGUUACACAUCAUUCCUCAUGAAGGAAACAACAUUUUCUGGGUGGGAUGCUUACCCGACUCAGUAUUCUUCCAAGAGGCGUGGAGUCAUAGAAAGACAUGGGUGCACGAAAAAGAGAAUUUAGUAGCUGGGAAAAUAAUGACUUGGAUGAUUGAAGACCCAAAACAACUAUAGAGAUUGAUCUACAUAGCAAGAAAAGUGUUGAGGUAACUCCGAUACACAGAUAGACCGCAAUUAAACGCAAUGUGCUGACAUGAGGAUCAUCAACAUUAGCUGCCAUCCAAGAGUUCUGUGCUAUCUGACCAAUGACAAACAACAGGUGACAGAAAGCAGCGAUGGAGAAGUACAAGUAUCCUUUGUUUUGAUUUAGAUACUGCACGUAAGGCUUAAACCCUGUGUCUCCCACCUCCUUUUCUUCCUGCUUAAUCAGUUGAUCUCCUUCAGAGGUUUUAAUCUGACCCUCUACAUAACUCUUCUUGAUCUCCCUAACAGACGAUCCCUGUCUCUGCGGAGCAUCAACCUCGGUAUGCCUUUCAGAACCAGCUGUUUCUUUGUGUGCAUUGACAAGGUCCAGAAAUUCUUGGCUUGACGACAGUAACUGAUGAUAAGGAGCGGCUUGUAGGAUUUCUCCAUCUGACAUCA
rnacentral:lncRNA from 1 species